rnacentral:rRNA from 1 species
UACAGAGGUCUCAAGCGUUGUUCGGAUUCAUUGGGCGUAAAGGGUGCGUAGGUGGCGCGGUAAGUCGGGUGUGAAAUCUCGGAGCCUUAACUCCGAAAUUGCAUUCGAUACUGCCGUGCUCGAGGACUGGAGAGGAGACUGGAAUUCAUGGUGUAGCAGUGAAUGCGUAGAGAUCAUGAGGAAGACCAGUGGCGAAGGCGGGUCUCUGGACAGUUCCUGACACUGAGGCACGAAGGCCAGGGAGCAAACGGG